AGAGUUUGAUCCUGGCUCAGGAUGAACGCUGGCGGCGUGCCUAACACAUGCAAGUCGAACGAAGCACCUUACUUGAUUCUUCGGAUGAAGGUCUGGUGACUGAGUGGCGGACGGGUGAGUAACGCGUGGGUAACCUGCCCUGUACAGGGGGAUAACAGUUGGAAACGGCUGCUAAUACCGCAUAAGCGCACGAGAGGACAUCCUCUUGUGUGAAAAACUCCGGUGGUACAGGAUGGGCCCGCGUCUGAUUAGCUGGUUGGCAGGGUAACGGCCUACCAAGGCAACGAUCAGUAGCCGGUCUGAGAGGAUGAACGGCCACAUUGGAACUGAGACACGGUCCAAACUCCUACGGGAGGCAGCAGUGGGGAAUAUUGCACAAUGGGGGAAACCCUGAUGCAGCAACGCCGCGUGAGUGAAGAAGUAUUUCGGUAUGUAAAGCUCUAUCAGCAGGGAAGAUAAUGACGGUACCUGACUAAGAAGCUCCGGCUAAAUACGUGCCAGCAGCCGCGGUAAUACGUAUGGAGCAAGCGUUAUCCGGAUUUACUGGGUGUAAAGGGUGCGUAGGUGGCAGUGCAAGUCAGAUGUGAAAGGCCGGGGCUCAACCCCGGAGCUGCAUUUGAAACUGCAUAGCUAGAGUACAGGAGAGGCAGGCGGAAUUCCUAGUGUAGCGGUGAAAUGCGUAGAUAUUAGGAGGAACACCAGUGGCGAAGGCGGCUUGCUGGACUGUAACUGACACUGAGGCUCGAAAGCGUGGGGAGCAAACAGGAUUAGAUACCCUGGUAGUCCACGC
rnacentral:rRNA from 1 species